UUUACUUUAGGAGCUGGAACUAUGUUGUAUAAAAGUGUACGGUUAUUAGUUCCAGGGAACUUUAUGUUUUUGCAGGUUGUGCCCGCAGAUCGUGUUUGGUUAGGUGCAUAUCCUUGCCCUCAGCUUGAGCAUCCAGGUAAUACAUCAAUGAGUACCCUGCAACAAUCAGUUACAGUAGAAACUUGAAGUUGUUAGAAAUUGAUAAUACUUUAAUACUUCCUCUCAUGAAGCCUCAUCUGCUAAUAACACAUUAUUUUCUGGUUAGCUCUUGACAACAUGCCGGUCUUUUUUCAAACCAUGCAGGGGAGCUGCAUGUGAUUUCAUUAGAAGAAGAAGAGAAAGUACAAUCAAGAAAUUACAGAUGACCAAGACAAACCAUCCAAAGCUACCCAAAAUACACGGCAACAGCGCUAACCAGCAACACAACCAAGUAACUCCACAGCAACGGCUAAAACCAAAAGCUAACCUCGGCCUUCAGCUAGUUGAUAACCUGAAGGAUCAGAGUGUGCUUCUUUUCCGGUCUUGCAUAACAUCAGUUAUCUGUAUGAUGUGUUCUACAGGAGGUAGCAUAGUUCUACUGGUGUCUAGUGCCAGGACGGGGUUUCCUUCUUUGAUGUGCUCUCAAACUGUUUUUAGUCCUGCAAGGAUACCAGAAGUAACGUACUAACAUAGUGAUUUUACUUCAGUUAGGAACAUUUUAGUGUUUGAAUCAACAUUAUUUCAAGGGUUACAGAGAACUGAACUACCGACCUGAAUCCAAUAUCACAUGCCUAUAAGGUUUCACAUUCUAACAAAACGUCC
rnacentral:lncRNA from 1 species